rnacentral:misc_RNA from 1 species
GAGAGAAAUUACUUCAAGCUUAUAACGAAGAGAUAAAAAAGAUCCAACUGGGUGCCAGGGAUCACCUCAAGAAGAUCUUCAGCGAUCAUGAAAAGCUGAAGUUGCAAUUGGAAUCUCAGAAAAAAGAGUUUGAGUUAAGAGGAAGAGAACUGGAGAAGCGUGAAGCACAAAAUGAAAACGAGAGCAAGUAUCUGGCUGAAGAAAUUGAAAAG